AUACGUAGGGGGCGAGCGUUGUCCGGAAUGACUGGGCGUAAAGGGCGUGUAGGCGGCCGAUUAAGUCUGGAGUGAAAGUCCUGCUUUCAAGGUGGGAAUUGCUUUGGAGACUGGUUGGCUUGAGUGCGGAAGAGGUAAGUGGAAUUCCCAGUGUAGCGGUGAAAUGCGUAGAGAUUGGGAGGAACACCAGUGGCGAAGGCGACUUACUGGGCCGUAACUGACGCUGAGGCGCGAAAGCGUGGGGAGCGAACAGGAUUAGAUACCCUGGUAGUCCACGCUGUAAACGAUGAAUGCUAGGUGUAGGGGGUAUCGACCCCUCCUGUGCCGGAGUAAACGCAAUAAGCAUUCCGCCUGGGGAGUACGGCCGCAAGGUUGAAACUCAAAUGAAUUGACGGGG
rnacentral:rRNA from 1 species